ACAGAGCAGAAGAAACCGCCCCCUCUCCCGGACCCCUCAUCUCUCUCCCACGAUGUGUGCGAUUAGGCGCCGCCACAGUUCCGCCACGGCCAGGUCCGUUGCUCAUCUGGUUAACCCCGACGGGCAUGAGGCGCAGGUGAUCUAGGCGCUCCCCUCGGAGACCUCCUCCCCGACCUCUCGUUCUCCCUACCAACGGACGGACUGGUGGUGUACCGCCGCCCGCCGCCAUGGGCGCUGAAGCCGGCGAGAUCCGGCAUGGCAUUUAUCUACAAGCGCUCGUGGCUGCCGUCUCCAUCGCGACCCGGAUUCCCACCAGUACGUCGACCACCUCGAGGGGCGCCUCUGAUUCCAUUGACAUAUAUCAGCAAUCCAAGAAGCCAAUAACAAUCUCCGAAAGUACAACUUUCUUAACUAGACAUUGAGCAGAACCCCAUCAUCUAUUCCAUACAAUUGUUAAUAGAUACUGAUCAAGAGAUAUUGUUGAGGUAAUAUAGCUACUCCCGGUGGCGCCACAGAUGAUGGAGUAGCAUAUACCUGUUUAGGACAAUUCAUAUGUGAUGGAUUGCAAUUAAAAGUCCGUGCUCCAGGAGAUGGUGCUAAUAACCACUCAGUACAAUAAAACUGAGGUACGUCACUUGCCGGCGAUGACCAAUGGAGGUACUUUACUGUUCCGCUGCCUAUGCUGAUAAAGAUCGAUUGUCUCCCUACUGUAAUGAUGGUGAAUUCAUUUCCUCCAUAGAUGUGUUAGUAAGUCCUCCCAUUGCGUUAGUGCAUCCUCACGUUGCUCAUAUAAUAUGAUGCGCUGGAUAUUUUCCUUUCUCCAUUCCAUCUCAGAUCUCCAGCCAUUCAUCAGACAUUUUCUUUCCUUAUAGUUUCAUUUUUGGCCGCUAUCUUUCUCUGUUCUCACUCCCUGUAACGUCGUAUAUAUGCUUUAUAUAUAUCCAGCUGAUUUCUUGUUGCUGUUACACGAAUUUCUGUGCUCAGAGUGUAUGCAUCACCGGGAACUACAACCAUGGCUGCUGAACAGUGUGGUUGUUUACCAAUACGUAUAUCCUAUGAUGUAGUAAUUCUGGUCGUCUUUGUUGUAUGCAUGUUGAUUUUUAUUUCACUCCAGCACAUUCAUUUGUCUCUCCCUUUCUUCAUCUUUUUUCAGGUGUUCUCCAGGUGAAUCUGUGGACAGUUAAAGGUUGACAUAUGGAACAGUAAUGAGUAAACCACUAAACCACACCACUGUCGUUAUCUUAUUGUUUCUUGCGCUGCUUUUCUAAGUGCUCACUAUGCUUGAUCCAUUUAAAAAAAUAGUAACUUCAUGGAUUAUCUUCCUUUCACUUCUGUAUAGACAUGGCUUAUCUGCAAGGCAUGUCUUGCUUUUUUAUUCUGCUAUUUGAAAUUAUGUAGCUGCUAUAGACCGACAGUUAUACUUUGAUCUAUUUUAGUUACAAGAGAAAAGGCAUGGCUGUUGAUUUAUGGGGAAGAUGCAAGAGAUGGAUGAGGAGGUGACGACAAUGGCCUUCUCGAUGACCAGAUCGAGAUAACAAUGACUGGGAGGGUAGAGUGGCUUGUGUGCCACGGUGGCACAAGCUGUAGGGAUGCUCAAAACGUUGGCAUAUUGCCGCGAAAUCCACCUGUACAGAUGCCACAUCCUUUGGUCUCAUUCCCUAGGUUUUCUGCAUGUUGCACAUGAAGCUGAUUGAGCUGUGCAUAUUAGCCAUUAUUCAUUUUUCAUUCUUGUGCUGAUGGUUAAUUAUAUUGCUUGUCCUUGUUGAUUGAUUUCUAAUCACAUGCGUUUGAAACAAACAGUUUGGUUUCAACAUCUAAAACUGGCAAGUAUGGUCAUGCCAAGUGCCAGUUUUUUUGUACUAUCAUCUUCAUUGGCAAAAGCUAAAGAUAUUAUUCCAUCCUCCUAAGAAGUCGUUAAUAUAUUUCUUGGCCUCUUCCAAGUUAACAUGUAUUGAGCUCUUGAGCUAAUAGGUUCUUCAUAAGAAUCAAUUCUUGAUAUUAGGUCACGGAUAUAUCUAAAUUCUGUUUCAUCCUUGAUAAAAGAUAAAUGUCUUAUGUUGUGGUUCAGCUACAAAAGAAUUAUUGAAUGGUCGAUGGGAGCAAUCCAGGAGGACAUACAUACCAUUCAUGUUGCCUGAAUCUAUCUUUGGCAAUCUGUGAGAGGUACUCGGAUGUCGCUGCAUUCUAUUUAAUACUUGGUACGGCUGCUAAUAAGUGUAUGCUUUCAGCGAUAAAUGCAAGGUAAUAUUUAGAGUGCAACGUUCUUAGUUAUUAGAAUUUUGUGCCUAUAAAUUUAUGAUGUAAGGCAGAAAGAUUACGUGGUGAAUACCGAGAAGUUUCUCAACCAGUAAUAGCAUCGCAUGUGGUCUUAGAAGUUCAUCACUGAUAAAAUAUUCCCAUGGAAAUAGAGAAUGUAUUUGAUCUUGCUUCUUCAGGUAAGUAGUAUCUUGAUUUGAACGUCUAAGUGUCUGUCAAUUUUAUUAGGAGAAAACACCAAGCUGGUGUGAAUCAUUAUCUAACUUUAUGCACAUUAUUAUAGUCAACAAGCUCAGAAAUGCUAUAAUGAUUCAUCGGAGUAAGUUGUGCAAUGUUUUAGACUAUUAUUAGAGCUUGGCAUGUACAUAUUUUGUGUUCUCUUGGUUGUAUAAAUCAAAUUUCUCUCCUCUUCUGCUAUAUUUCAGGUUGAGGCUUCAUUACUAACAAGCACAACCUGUGCCCAGUGAAAAUGUUGGCUUCUUAUUAUGUAGGGAAUGCUGAAGAGAUCAAUCAUGUUGCUCAAUCAAGUGACAUCAAUCACCUCAAGCAUGUGGUACUUUUGAUUUCCUUAACUAAUUAAAAGGCCAUUGGUCUGCGAUGCCACACUGCCUACAUUAUUAUUGGUGAACGACUGAGGCAUCAUAGGUUAAAAAUGUUAAUAUUCCUGCUUAAAAUCUUGAAUUUUAUAAUUGCUAUUGUGCAAUCAUGUGUGCUUGAACAGUAAUCUCACUGUUCUUGAAGACUUUUCACCAUUUGGGCUCUUCGUUUUGUGAAACCGAAUCAUAAGGUUGACGCCAAUUCUUGGCGCUUGUACCUCUCUUCACGCACAAGUGUGCCUAUGUAAUAAACUUGGCCUUUGGCCAUUGUGUAAUAGUACAUUCAGAUGGGAGAGCUCCCCCAUCGGUCA